GUAGUUUGACUCCUGGCUACGAGGACGACGCUGGCGGCGUGCUUAACACAUGCAAGUCGAACGGAGUUAAACGCUGGAUUGAUGGUAGCUUGCUACAGGAUUUCCUUGUUUAACUUAGUGGCGGACGGGUGAGUAACGCGUGAGUAACCUGCCUCUGAGUGGGGAAUAACGUUCUGAAAAGAACGCUAAUACCGCAUAAUAUAUAUUUGCCGCAUGACAGAUAUAUCAAAGAUUUAUCGCUCGGAGAUGGACUCGCGUCCGAUUAGCUGGUUGGUGAGGUAACGGCUCACCAAGGCGACGAUCGGUAGCCGGACUGAGAGGUUGAACGGCCACAUUGGGACUGAGACACGGCCCAGACUCCUACGGGAGGCAGCAGUGGGGGAUAUUGCGCAAUGGGGGAAACCCUGACGCAGCAACGCCGCGUGGAGGAAGACGGUUUUCGGAUUGUAAACUCCUUUUAUAAGGGACGAACUAAGACGGUACCUUAUGAAUAAGCUCCGGCUAACUACGUGCC
rnacentral:rRNA from 1 species